rnacentral:lncRNA from 1 species
CACUCUCAUGUUUUUCUCUUUCAUUAGACUAUGACUCCUCGAUGGUAGCAAUUUGUAGUAAUCAAAUUUUUGUAUUUUAUUUUAGCAUCUGGCAUCUUUCUUGACACAUGUAGCAGUUGCUUUUUGACAGCUUGCUUCUUCAGUGAAUGAAUAAAUUAAUAAAGAGAAAUGUGAUGUUCAGUGAUCCAUUUUGCAGGCUCUUGAGUUUCUGCUUUCAAGUGACCCUCAGAAAUUCCCCCAUUCACUGCAGAGGUUCUGUUUCUCCUUGCUUUGUUCUGACUUUACGGCAGAACUAAGCUGAUGAGUUAGUUACUAUGGGUUAUCACUUGGAUUUGAAGAACCAUCAUUUCUAGGCAUUGCUGCUCAGAGUGGGUCUGCCCUCAGGGGAAGCUGUCUAACCAGAGCCUAACCCACUAGGGUUUUAUCAGAACCUAACUGACCUGAGGAAAAGAAAUAUUCAACUCCAGCAAGCUCCAGCCUUCCAAAUGGAGGAGAAGAAAACCCAACUCCAGCCCACUUCAGCUAUCUUGUCCCACAUAAAGGGGAAGUGGAAGAAACCUGAGAAGCAGGCAUGAAGUUCACAGUCCAGAGGUACAGACACAUCAGAGUUCAGUAUCUGAUGAAUUAGAUGCAAAAACCUCAACAAAGUAUUAGCAAAUUGAAUUCAACAAUGUAUGAAAAUUAUUACAUGCCAUGACUAAUUGGAAUUUAUCUCAGGUAUACAAGCCAUGCUGAACAUCUGAAAAUCAAUUCAUGUGAUCCAUCACAUUAGCAGACUCAAGAAAAAAAACCACAUUAUCAUAUCAGUAGAUGUAGAAAAAAAAAUUUAACAAAAUCCAGCACCCAUUCACAAUGAAAAUGCCCAGUAAAUUAGAAAUAGAAGGUAACUUCCUCAAAUUGAUAAGGAAUAUCUCUAAAAACCUACAACUAAAAUCAUACUUAAUGGUAGAAAACUAGAAGCCUUCCCAGUAAGAGUAAGAACAAGGCAAAGAUGUAUGCUCUCACCAAUGCUUUUCAACAUCAUAUAUUGGAAGUCCUAGCUAGUGCAAUAAGCAAAAAAAAAAAAAAAAAAAAAAAAGUUAUGUUAAUAAGAACAAAAACUGUGUUUGUUUGCAGAUGACAUGAUUUUCUAUGCAAAAAAUUCAAAAUAAUCAGCAACAAAAAAAAUCCUGAAACUAGUAAAUGAUUAUAGCAAGAUUUCAGGAUAUGAGAUUUAUAUACAAAGGUCAAUUACUUUCAUAUAUACAAGCAAUGAACAAGAGGGAUUUGAAAUUAAAAACGAAACUAUUUACAUUAGUACCCCCAAAAUGAAAUCCUUAUGUAUAAACUUAACAAAAUAUGUACAAGAUACAUAUGAGAAAAA